UGAGCUUUCAUUUUCUCAAAGGCAGAGCAGGAAACGCAGGGGUCGGUUUACACCUAUCGCCAUUUUGAGCCACCGGGGGACCAUAGGUAGGCUCGGGGAAUGCAUAUUAAUGUUAAAAUAACUCAUAAAGGGAAAUUUUCAUGCCAUGGGCCCUUUAAA